AUUGAACGCUGGCGGCAUGCCUUACACAUGCAAGUCGAACGGCAGCACGGGAGCAAUCCUGGUGGCGAGUGGCGAACGGGUGAGUAAAGUAUCGGAACGUGCCCAGUCGUGGGGGAUAACGUAGCGAAAGUUACGCUAAUACCGCAUACGAUCUAUGGGUGAAAGCGGGGGAUCGCAAGACCUCGCGCGAUUGGAGCGGCCGAUAUCAGAUUAGGUAGUUGGUGGGGAAAAGGCACACCAAGCCGACGAUCUGUAGCUGGUCUGAGAGGACGACCAGCCACACUGGGACUGAGACCCGGCCCAGACUCCUACGGGAGGCAGCAGUGGGGAAUUUUGGACAAUGGGCGAAGGCCUGAUCCAGCCAUGCCGCGUGCAGGAUGAAGGCCUUCGGGUUGUAAACUGCUUUUGUACGGAACGAAAAGGUUUGGCCUAAUAAGCUGAGCUCAUGACGGUACCGUAAGAAUAAGCACCGGCUAACUACGUGCCAGCCGCCGGGUAA
rnacentral:rRNA from 1 species